UACGGAGGGAGCUAGCGUUGUUCGGAAUUACUGGGCGUAAAGCGCGCGUAGGCGGCUUUGUAAGUUAGAGGUGAAAGCCCGGAGCUCAACUCCGGAACUGCCUUUAAGACUGCAUCGCUUGAAUCCGGGAGAGGUGAGUGGAAUUCCGAGUGAUAGAGGUGAAAGUUCGUAGAUAUUCGGAAGAACACCAGUGGGCGAAAGGCGGCAUCACUGGACCGGCACUUGACG
rnacentral:rRNA from 1 species